GACAGAGGGUGCAAACGUUGUUCGGAAUUACUGGGCGUAAAGCGCGUGUAGGCUGUUCUGCAAGUCGGGUGUGAAAGCCCCGGGCUCAACCUGGGAAGUGCACUCGAAACUGCAGAACUCGAGUCCUGGAGAGGAAGGCGGAAUUCUCGGUGUAGAGGUGAAAUUCGUAGAUAUCGGGAGGAACACCAGUGGCGAAGGCGGAGACCUGGGCCAAUACUGACGCUGAGGUGCGAAAGCGUGGGGAGCAAACAGG
rnacentral:rRNA from 1 species